AAGACUACCAGGUCUUGACAUCCUUUGACCACUCUAGAGAUAGAGCUUUCCCUUCGGGGACAAAGUGACAGGUGGUGCAUGGUUGUCGUCAGCUCGUGUCGUGAGAUGUUGGGUUAAGUCCCGCAACGAGCGCAACCCUUAUUGUUAGUUGCCAUCAUUUAGUUGGGCACUCUAGCGAGACUGCCGGUGACAAACCGGAGGAAGGUGGGGAUGACGUCAAAUCAUCAUGCCCCUUAUGACCUGGGCUACACACGUGCUACAAUGGGAAGUACAACGAGUCGCUAGACCGCGAGGUCAUGCAAAUCUCUUAAAGCUUCUCUCAGUUCGGAUUGCAGGCUGCAACUCGCCUGCAUGAAGCCGGAAUCGCUAGUAAUCGCGAUCAGCACGCCCGUCGUCC
rnacentral:rRNA from 1 species